rnacentral:ncRNA from 1 species
UAAAAUUCGUUGAUGGGAAUAAGUAGCCCUUGGUGGAAUUUACAGAGAGGCAGCGGUUGGUGGAAGCUGUUAAGGAAACCAAAAGGUGAAAUCAUCCCGGAGAAGUAAGCUGAAAUAAGUAGGUACGCCGGAGUAGAGCCACGUUAUAGGUGAUACACAUUAAAUUGAUGUGUGAAUGAGCCCACAUAUUUGUGGGGAAUUAAGGUGGUACCACGACGAGAGUUGUCCUUUUG